rnacentral:rRNA from 1 species
AAAUUGAAGAGUUUGAUCAUGGCUCAGAUUGAACGCUGGCGGCAGGCCUAACACAUGCAAGUCGAGCGGUAGCACAGAGAGCUUGCUCUCGGGUGACGAGCGGCGGACGGGUGAGUAAUGUCUGGGAAACUGCCUGAUGGAGGGGGAUAACUACUGGAAACGGUAGCUAAUACCGCAUAAUGUCGCAAGACCAAAGUGGGGGACCUUCGGGCCUCAUGCCAUCAGAUGUGCCCAGAUGGGAUUAGCUAGUAGGUGGGGUAACGGCUCACCUAGGCGACGAUCCCUAGCUGGUCUGAGAGGAUGACCAGCCACACUGGAACUGAGACACGGUCCAGACUCCUACGGGAGGCAGCAGUGGGGAAUAUUGCACAAUGGGCGCAAGCCUGAUGCAGCCAUGCCGCGUGUGUGAAGAAGGCCUUCGGGUUGUAAAGCACUUUCAGCGGGGAGGAAGGCGGUAAGGUUAAUAACCUUGUCGAUUGACGUUACCCGCAGAAGAAGCACCGGCUAACUCCGUGCCAGCAGCCGCGGUAAUACGGAGGGUGCAAGCGUUAAUCGGAAUUACUGGGCGUAAAGCGCACGCAGGCGGUCUGUCAAGUCGGAUGUGAAAUCCCCGGGCUCAACCUGGGAACUGCAUUCGAAACUGGCAGGCUAGAGUCUUGUAGAGGGGGGUAGAAUUCCAGGUGUAGCGGUGAAAUGCGUAGAGAUCUGGAGGAAUACCGGUGGCGAAGGCGGCCCCCUGGACAAAGACUGACGCUCAGGUGCGAAAGCGUGGGGAGCAAACAGGAUUAGAUACCCUGGUAGUCCACGCCGUAAACGAUGUCGAUUUGGAGGUUGUGCCCUUGAGGCGUGGCUUCCGGAGCUAACGCGUUAAAUCGACCGCCUGGGGAGUACGGCCGCAAGGUUAAAACUCAAAUGAAUUGACGGGGGCCCGCACAAGCGGUGGAGCAUGUGGUUUAAUUCGAUGCAACGCGAAGAACCUUACCUGGUCUUGACAUCCACAGAACUUUCCAGAGAUGGAUUGGUGCCUUCGGGAACUGUGAGACAGGUGCUGCAUGGCUGUCGUCAGCUCGUGUUGUGAAAUGUUGGGUUAAGUCCCGCAACGAGCGCAACCCUUAUCCUUUGUUGCCAGCGGUUCGGCCGGGAACUCAAAGGAGACUGCCAGUGAUAAACUGGAGGAAGGUGGGGAUGACGUCAAGUCAUCAUGGCCCUUACGACCAGGGCUACACACGUGCUACAAUGGCAUAUACAAAGAGAAGCGACCUCGCGAGAGCAAGCGGACCUCAUAAAGUAUGUCGUAGUCCGGAUUGGAGUCUGCAACUCGACUCCAUGAAGUCGGAAUCGCUAGUAAUCGUAGAUCAGAAUGCUACGGUGAAUACGUUCCCGGGCCUUGUACACACCGCCCGUCACACCAUGGGAGUGGGUUGCAAAAGAAGUAGGUAGCUUAACCUUCGGGAGGGCGCUUACCACUUUGUGAUUCAUGACUGGGGUGAAGUCGUAACAAGGUAACCGUAGGGGAACCUGCGGUUGGAUCACCUCCUUACCUUAAAGAA